AUGAACGCUAGCGGCAGGCUUAACACAUGCAAGUCGAGGGGCAGCAUAAUGGUAGUAAUACUAUUGAUGGCGACCGGCGGACGGGUGCGUAACGCGUAUGCAACCUACCCUUUACAGGGGGAUAACACUGAGAAAUCGGUACUAAUACCCCAUAAUAUUCUGGGAGGCAUCUUUCGGAGUUGAAAGCUUUGGUGGUAAAGGAUGGGCAUGCGUUGUAUUAGCUAGUUGGUAAGGUAACGGCUUACCAAGGCGACGAUACAUAGGGGGACUGAGAGGUUAACCCCCCACAUUGGUACUGAGACACGGACCAAACUCCUACGGGAGGCAGCAGUGAGGAAUAUUGGUCAAUGGACGGAAGUCUGAACCAGCCAUGCCGCGUGCAGGAAGACGGCUCUAUGAGUUGUAAACUGCUUUUGUACGAGGGUAAACGCAGAUACGUGUAUCUGCCUGAAAGUAUCGUACGAAUAAGGAUCGGCUAACUCCGUGCCAGCAGCCGCGGUAAUACGGAGGAUCCAAGCGUUAUCCGGAUUUAUUGGGUUUAAAGGGUGCGUAGGCGGUUUAGUAAGUCAGCGGUGAAAUUUUGGUGCUUAACACCAAACGUGCCGUUGAUACUGCUGGGCUAGAGAGUAGUUGCGGUAGGCGGAAUGUAUGGUGUAGCGGUGAAAUGCUUAGAGAUCAUACAGAACACCGAUUGCGAAGGCAGCUUACCAAACUAUAUCUGACGUUGAGGCACGAAAGCGUGGGGAGCAAACAGGAUUAGAUACCCUGGUAGUCCACGCAGUAAACGAUGAUAGCUCGUUGUCGGCGAUACACAGUCGGUGACUAAGAGAAAUCGAUAAGCUAUCCACCUGGGGAGUACGUUCGCAAGAAUGAAACUCAAAGGAAUUGACGGGGGCCCGCACAAGCGGAGGAACAUGUGGUUUAAUUCGAUGAUACGCGAGGAACCUUACCCGGGCUUGAAAGUUACUGACGAUUCUGGAAACAGGAUUUCCCUUCGGGGCAGGAAACUAGGUGCUGCAUGGUUGUCGUCAGCUCGUGCCGUGAGGUGUCGGGUUAAGUCCCAUAACGAGCGCAACCCCUACCGUUAGUUGCCAUCAGGUCAAGCUGGGCACUCUGGCGGGACUGCCGGUGUAAGCCGAGAGGAAGGUGGGGAUGACGUCAAAUCAGCACGGCCCUUACGUCCGGGGCGACACACGUGUUACAAUGGUAGGUACAGAGGGCAGCCACCCAGUGAUGGGGAGCGAAUCUCGAAAGCCUAUCUCAGUUCGGAUUGGAGGCUGAAACUCGCCUCCAUGAAGUUGGAUUCGCUAGUAAUCGCGCAUCAGCCAUGGCGCGGUGAAUACGUUCCCGGGCCUUGUACACACCGCCCGUCAAGCCAUGGGAGUUGGGGGUGCCUGAAGUUCGUGACCGAAAGGAGCGACCUAGGGCAAAACCGAUGACUGGGGCU
rnacentral:rRNA from 1 species